rnacentral:rRNA from 1 species
AUUAACUGAAUCCAUAGGUUAAUGAGGCGAACCGGGGGAACUGAAACAUCUAAGUACCCCGAGGAAAAGAAAUCAACCGAGAUUCCCCCAGUAGCGGCGAGCGAACGGGGAGGAGCCCAGAGCCUGAAUCAGUGUGUGUGUUAGUGGAAGCGUCUGGAAAGGCGCGCGAUACAGGGUGACAGCCCCGUACACAAAAAUGCACAUACUGUGAGCUCGAUGAGUAGGGCGGGACACGUGGUAUCCUGUCUGAAUAUGGGGGGACCAUCCUCCAAGGCUAAAUACUCCUGACUGACCGAUAGUGAACCAGUACCGUGAGGGAAAGGCGAAAAGAACCCCGGCGAGGGGAGUGAAAAAGAACCUGAAACCGUGUACGUACAAGCAGUGGGAGCCUCUUUAUGGGGUGACUGCGUACCUUUUGUAUAAUGGGUCAGCGACUUAUAUUCUGUAGCAAGGUUAACCGAAUAGGGGAGCCGAAGGGAAACCGAGUCUUAACUGGGCGUUAAGUUGCAGGGUAUAGACCCGAAACCCGGUGAUCUAGCCAUGGGCAGGUUGAAGGUUGGGUAACACUAACUGGAGGACCGAACCGACUAAUGUUGAAAAAUUAGCGGAUGACUUGUGGCUGGGGGUGAAAGGCCAAUCAAACCGGGAGAUAGCUGGUUCUCCCCGAAAGCUAUUUAGGUAGCGCCUCGUGAAUUCAUCUCCGGGGGUAGAGCACUGUUUCGGCAAGGGGGUCAUCCCGACUUACCAACCCGAUGCAAACUGCGAAUACCGGAGAAUGUUAUCACGGGAGACACACGGCGGGUGCUAACGUCCGUCGUGAAGAGGGAAACAACCCAGACCGCCAGCUAAGGUCCCAAAGUCAUGGUUAAGUGGGAAACGAUGUGGGAAGGCCCAGACAGCCAGGAUGUUGGCUUAGAAGCAGCCAUCAUUUAAAGAAAGCGUAAUAGCUCACUGGUCGAGUCGGCCUGCGCGGAAGAUGUAACGGGGCUAAACCAUGCACCGAAGCUGCGGCAGCGACACUAAGUGUUGUUGGGUAGGGGAGCGUUCUGUAAGCCUGUGAAGGUGUGUUGUGAGGCAUGCUGGAGGUAUCAGAAGUGCGAAUGCUGACAUAAGUAACGAUAAAGCGGGUGAAAAGCCCGCUCGCCGGAAGACCAAGGGUUCCUGUCCAACGUUAAUCGGGGCAGGGUGAGUCGACCCCUAAGGCGAGGCCGAAAGGCGUAGUCGAUGGGAAACAGGUUAAUAUUCCUGUACUUGGUGUUACUGCGAAGGGGGGACGGAGAAGGCUAUGUUGGCCGGGCGACGGUUGUCCCGGUUUAAGCGUGUAGGCUGGUUUUCCAGGCAAAUCCGGAAAAUCAAGGCUGAGGCGUGAUGACGAGGCACUACGGUGCUGAAGCGACAAAUGCCCUGCUUCCAGGAAAAG